GCUUAGGAAUCUGCCUAUUAGUGGGGGACAACAUCUCGAAAGGGAUGCUAAUACCGCAUACGUCCUACGGGAGAAAGCAGGGGAUCUUCGGACCUUGCGCUAAUAGAUGAGCCUAAGUCGGAUUAGCUAGUUGGUGGGGUAAAGGCCUACCAAGGCGACGAUCUGUAGCGGGUCUGAGAGGAUGAUCCGCCACACUGGGACUGAGACACGGCCCAGACUCCUACGGGAGGCAGCAGUGGGGAAUAUUGGACAAUGGGGGGAACCCUGAUCCAGCCAUGCCGCGUGUGUGAAGAAGGCCUUAUGGUUGUAAAGCACUUUAAGCGAGGAGGAGGCUACUUUAGUUAAUACCUAGAGAUAGUGGACGUUACUCGCAGAAUAAGCACCGGCUAACUCUGUGCCAGCAGCCGCGGUAAUACAGAGGGUGCGAGCGUUAAUCGGAUUUACUGGGCGUAAAGCGUGCGUAGGCGGCUUAUUAAGUCGGAUGUGAAAUCCCCGAGCUUAACUUGGGAAUUGCAUUCGAUACUGGUGAGCUAGAGUAUGG
rnacentral:rRNA from 1 species